UGACGUCAAAUCAUCAUGCCCCUUAUGACCUGGGCUACACACGUGCUACAAUGGGCGGUACAAAGGGCUGCGAACCCGCGAGGGGGAGCGAAUCCCAAAAAGCCGCUCUCAGUUCGGAUUGCAGGCUGCAACUCGCCUGCAUGAAGCCGGAAUCGCUAGUAAUCGCGGAUCAGCAUGCCGCGGUGAAUACGUUCCCGGGCCUU
rnacentral:rRNA from 1 species